UCCCUGAUGGCUCAAUUGUUAAAGAAUCCGCCUGCAAUGCGGAAAAUCUGGGUUCAAUACCUGGGUUGGGAA
rnacentral:tRNA from 1 species